rnacentral:lncRNA from 1 species
UCUUAGUCCCAAAUCAAAAAGGUGUCAGUUGGAACAAAGUAUCAACAAGAUUGUCUAGUCAAAAAACACCACCAUCUUCAAGUAAUGAGAACUUGCGAGAUAUUGAAACACCGGAGGAAUCAAGAUCAAAGAGUGUUGGGUUUCUCUGUAACCUUUCAAGUAAUAGGUAUGUUAUUACAU